rnacentral:rRNA from 1 species
AACGAACGCUGGCGGCAGGCCUAACACAUGCAAGUCGAGCGCGCCCUUCGGGGUGAGCGGCGGACGGGUGGGUAACGCGUGGGAACGUGCCCUUUUCUACGGAAUAGCCUCGGGAAACUGAGAGUAAUACCGUAUACGCCCUUUGGGGGAAAGAUUUAUCGGAAAAGGAUCGGCCCGCGUUGGAUUAGGUAGUUGGUGGGGUAAUGGCCUACCAAGCCGACGAUCCAUAGCUGGUUUGAGAGGAUGAUCAGCCACACUGGGACUGAGACACGGCCCAGACUCCUACGGGAGGCAGCAGUGGGGAAUCUUAGACAAUGGGGGCAACCCUGAUCUAGCCAUGCCGCGUGAGUGAUGAAGGCUUUAGGGUUGUAAAGCUCUUUCAGCUGGGAAGAUAAUGACGGUACCAGCAGAAGAAGCCCCGGCUAACUCCGUG